rnacentral:rRNA from 1 species
CCUACGGGGGGCUGCAGUGGGGAAUAUUGGACAAUGGGCGAAAGCCUGAUCCAGCCAUGCCGCGUGGGUGAAGAAGGCCUUCGGGUUGUAAAGCACUUUCAGUGGGGAAGAAAGCCUUGGGGCUAAUACCCUCGAGGAAGGACAUCACCCACAGAAGAAGCACCGGCUAACUCCGUGCCAGCAGCCGCGGUAAUACGGAGGGUGCGAGCGUUAAUCGGAAUUACUGGGCGUAAAGCGCGCGUAGGCGGUCUGAUAAGCCGGUUGUGAAAGCCCCGGGCUCAACCUGGGAACGGCAUCCGGAACUGUCAGGCUAGAGUGCAGGAGAGGAAGGUAGAAUUCCCGGUGUAGCGGUGAAAUGCGUAGAGAUCGGGAGGAAUACCAGUGGCGAAGGCGGCCUUCUGGACUGACACUGACGCUGAGGUGCGAAAGCGUGGGUAGCAAACAGGAUUAGAUACCCUUGUAGUC